UAAUGUAUGGGGAUCUGCCCGAUAGAGGGGGAUAACUACUGGAAACGGUGGCUAAUACCGCAUAAUGUCUACGGACCAAAGCAGGGGCUCUUCGGACCUUGCACUAUCGGAUGAACCCAUAUGGGAUUAGCUAGUAGGUGGGGUAAAGGCUCACCUAGGCGACGAUCUCUAGCUGGUCUGAGAGGAUGAUCAGCCACACUGGGACUGAGACACGGCCCA
rnacentral:rRNA from 1 species